rnacentral:rRNA from 1 species
CCUACGGGAGGCAGCAGUGGGGAAUAUUGCACAAUGGGCGAAACCCUGAUCCAGCGACGCCGCGUGAGGGAAGAAGUAUCUAGGUACGUUAAGCCUUAUCAGCAGGGGAGCAAAUGUCGCUACCUGACUAAGAAGCCCCGGCUACCUACGUGCCAGCAGACGCUGUAAUACGUAGGGGGCAGGCGUUAUCCGGAUUUACGGGGGGUAAAGGGGGCGUAGACGGGAGCACAAGUCUGGAGUGAAAUCCCGGGGCUGAACCCCGGAACUGCUGUUGAAACUGUGCGGCUUGAGUGCAGGAGAGGUAAGCGGAAUGCCUAGUGUAGCGGUGAAAUGCGUAGAUAUGAGGAGGAACACCGAUGGCGAAGGCGGCUUACUGGACUGUAACGGACGUUGAGGCUCGAAAGCGUGGGGAGCAAACAGGAUUAGAUACCCGAGUAGUC